rnacentral:snRNA from 1 species
CCAAUAGGGAACGUGAGCU